rnacentral:lncRNA from 1 species
AACGUUCAACGCUCGUUUCUUCGUUCUAAGUCAAAAUCCGGCCAUUUUCGAGUCCGCAACUCUAUAAUGUCAAAUAUGACUUGUCUCAAUCAAAAACCAACAUUUAUGACAUCAAACACAAAAUACGACUUCCUUUCCGAGAAUUUCACAAAUUCGACGAUUAUCGUCCAAUCGUGUGAAUUCUGGCGAAUCCUCAUUACUAAUCAUUCUAGGUGGAUUUUAAUCAACAAAUAGACAUUUCAAGUUACUUAUUACACAAAAUUAUUAACUACAAAUUUUCAUGCUUAUAACUUACUAUGAACUUAAGUCCACUAAUCAACGUUUUCAAACUAUCUUGAACAUACUAACAUCAUAUGAUGAACAUAUGGCAAGUUCUUUCCAAGUUCAUCAAAUUAUUUAGGUUCAAAUUGCUUAUUCAACUUAUUCGGCUUAAGUUCAUUCAUCAAUGACUUAUUACAUGUUCUUAGUAUCUAACUUCAUUAGAUUACACUUCUCUUAUCAUCCUAGUAUGAUAGAGAUAGAGGAGAUAAUAUUAAUUACCUUUGAAGACUACUUGUACUUCUCUUCUCUUGAAAAUCUAGCAAAGGAAAGUUAAACUCCAAAGUGCUUAUUGGUUCUAACAAAUAAGUUGUUUACAAAGAGAGUUUGUGGAGGAAAUAACAAGCAACAAAUGAAUUAAAGGCUUGUUAUUUAUAGAGGAGCUAAGGUUAGGGCAUAAUGGUCUUUAUGUCAUCCCACCUCCUUAAACUAACCUCCUUACUAUUCACUUGCUUAAUCCUUAAGUUUACUUGCCAACCACAACUCUUAUCUCUUACUUGGUUAUUACAUAAAGUUCUUGCCCAUCAAGACUACCCAUAUUAAUAUGGUUUUCUCCAUGGAUCAUGGCUAAUUCAUUGGGCUUGCAUUAAUAAUAGUUUGGGCUUCACUUUAUAAACCACUUGGGCUUAGUAUAAAUCCCACAUAGGUUUACACCUUUAAGCUUAU